CGGCGUGACCUCUCACACGCCAACAUUCGCCAUCACCACGCACCCGCUCAUUUGUGCGCGCCCUCGUUCGUUUCCCUUGCCUGUGGUCGUUGCGCGUAUAUUGGGGGUGGGGUGGCUCUGGUGUCUGAACCGGGACCACACACCAAGAGGGCCUUCUUCACACGCGCGUGCAUGCAGGCGUCUGCGCACAGACGUACCGCGUUGAUCGGCCGUGCGUGAGUGGCCGCAUCCCUUCCCACGCACUCGCCAGCACACACGUACAACACAUACAUCCACGAGCGUGCGCCAUGUCUGCCGAGAAGCCAAGGAAGAUACACGCGAAGCGAUCCUUCUUGGAGCCGCUGUGCGCGCCGGAGCCCCUGACGCCCUCAAAUGACAAAGGAAAGUCUUCGGCGAGUGCGGUCAAGCCGUGGGCACCGACAAGUGCUCUGGAAUGGCUACAGCUUGCCUCGCACCUUCUCAUCGCCAGCGGCGGCAACGUUGAGGCAGAGGAGCGCGUGCUGAUGGUGUGUGAGGAGGCCGCGAAGAUGCUGCUAGAGGAGGACGCCAAGAUCCGCGCCAGCGCCCAGUCCAAGGCGCCGACGGUGGCGGAGGCGGAGGCUGCCGUGUACAGCGCCAAAGAGGGUGGCGAUGCACCUGAUGCAGCGGAAGGCAGCGCGGCCUCUGACGACGUUGUUCAGAGCGUUGUCGCUGCCGCCGAGGAGGAGCCUCCAUCGACCGAGCGCCUGCAGGCCGCGUACUUGCUCACGGCGGCCGCGGUGGCUGCAGCAGAGGCGCACCGGCUUCCCGCGGCCGAGUCCGCCGUUCGCUUGGCUCGUGCCGCAGUUGAGGCGUACCGCUGCCCAAUGACUGCCUGCACGCUGGCGAUGGCCUGUGUGCGGUGGGGGAUGACGAAUCGCGACAUCAACAGCCGCGCCGCGGCCUUUCAGACGGCGUUUACCGUAAUCACCGCAGCAAGCAGAGAUAUACUGGAGCGCGAGACGCUCCCCGAAGAGGAUGCUGGGUACGUACUGCGCAUGGCGUGGAUGCUCGUCGGCGUUGGCGCCGCGGACAAUGCCCGCAAUCAGCUGAUGGUGGUACUUCAGCACAACCCAAAGAGCUACAUGGGGCUGCUGCUUCUGACCCUCCUGCACGCCGCGGAGGGCGACUACGAUGACGCUAACACGGCCGUCAUGCAUCUGCUGAAUGGGUACCCGAACGACGUGGUGGCAAUUGUCGUCCACGCGGUGGUGCAGCAAAAGUGCCGGCUGCCAGAGCCCACUGAUGGGCACGGCAGGGACGCGGCCGCGGAGGAGCUAGCGGUGGCCAUGGCGCGUAUCGCAACGCUCGGCGACGAGGCCGCCAGCGCAGCGACGGCCGCACUGAAAAAGAAGUCACUGAAAGGGUUGUGCACGCACUGCGCGCCCGACGAGGACGUGGAAGGGGGCCCGAAGCACUCCUCCGGCGAGCUGAAGCGGCGCGUUGUGGGGCACUGGGCACUGCUGAGUCACGUUGCCACGCGACUCGGAUGUUCAACGGUGGCGGAGGUCGCCAUAGAGGCGGGCACGGCCGCCGUUGCACAGAGCAAGAUGCUGUAUCGGCGUUCUUUCGCCGACCUGCAGUGCAGCCAGGCGCGUCUCUCGCUGAUCCGCCUCAGGGAGGCCAUCGCGGGGCAGCAGGUGCAUCACGGCGGCGGCCCGUCUGUGCCACUGGUACGUGAUGUGAACCUACUAGGCACCCUGGACUUCAACACCGCCGCCUCUUCUGAGCUGGCGCGCAUGGUUGCCGGCCUGCCACUCACCUCCGGCGUUGCAGAUAAGGUGCGCGGCUCGUUUUCGCUCUUUCCCGGCUCGGCGAUGCAGCGCUUGCUGCCGUCGAGGCUGUUCGAUGCCGUUGCGUCGACGCUUUUGGCGGCGGUGGAGGCAUGCCCAAACCACGAGGAGGGGCACACGCUGCUUGGUGUGACGCGCCUCCUGGAGGCUUCGCAGCUCGACUUGCCGUCUGACACUCGCCACAAUCGGCUGCAGGAGGCUGGGCGGCACUUUAUGAACGCCAUGCGAGCCGACGCGGCGAUGCCGGAGGCGUACCUUGGCGCCGGCGUCGUGGCCGAGGCGCAGGGCGCCACAGGCGAGAGUUUUGACUUCUACACCUCUGCUGCGGAGGUGUCGGUGCAGGCCCCGCUGAUCCCUUGGCAGUACUUUGACUACCUUUAUCAAUAGUAGGUACCGGCGGAACACGCAUCAGCUCUGCAUGCACGCAUCAUGCGUGUAUUAUUGUGGGUUCGUGUCUGCGCUGGCUGCUUCAGCUCAGGAAACGCGCUGCUGAACCUGGAGAGGAAGAAGAGAGGCAGAGGAGAGUACGCCGCGGCAUCCUGCGCCUUUCUUCCUCUCGCUGCACUCUGUUGGGCGCUGCACGUUUAUUGACGCCCACUUUUUUUUUUUGAUUGCUUUCGUCGGUGUGCUCGGUGCCCCCUUCCCCCCUCCCGCCUUGCCACGAGUGCGGUGUGACCGAAAUGGUGCACUCGUGCAUGAUGAGGAAACUUUGUGCUUUCGCGCGCUGAUGCAUGAGGUGGGAUGCUUCCGUGCCCCUCGCUUUCUCGCUCUCGUGAUCGACAAGGGGCGGGUGGACGCACUAUCCGUCUCCGUGCGUGGAAUCCCAGGGUUCAGUACCCUUCCCCCUAUCUAUGCCCAUGCCGAACCGCUUCUGGUGGUGAGAAGGCCAAGCACCUACGAGGUAGGGAGGAGGUCAGCUGGAUGUAUCGCUACUGCGAAUGCCGGCGGUGAGGUCUUUGACGGGCGUUGCGUCGGGAAGACGUGCAACAGCGAACCGGCUUGUGCGACCCACAUGAUGGGCGAAGUGCCACCGUGACUCGAGCGCAUCGCGCCCGCCCCUCACACUGCCCGCUGGUGUGGGGAGCCGGUCCCACCACGGGAGGCGCGCCACGCGACGGCCCGCAAAAAGCAGAGUCGGCAACACUUGCGGUGGAGACUGUGCUUUCCGAUGACGGAGUUGGCGCAUUGCUGGAACGGGCGCGUCUACGGCUGCCUCGCACGGCGCGAUGAGGCCCUGUCGCAGGGCUAGAGGUGGAAGGGGUGAGGUUUCUGCGGAUGCUUUUUGGCAGAGUGAACACGUUGAAGGAGAAAAAUAGAAGCAAAAAAAAAAACAUCGCUGUCGUCCUCGUUGUGAGAGGGAGGUGCCGUCGCCUCUCUCUCUCUGCACGGAGGUGGCCACGUAGGGUGGCCGAUGCUGUGUACAAGCUGGUUGGGCAGGGAGGGGGCAGUGUGUGUGUGUGUGUGUGUCUGCACCCCUUCUCCGCAGCUCCCAAUCGUUGAUGAUGACGCUAGUGCGUGCAGACAGACACAGCUCUGCGUGAGCAGCGGAAGGAAAAAGACUACUGCAAGAAAACAAAGGCAACAUUUCCUGUGGAUGCUUGCACAGCCCUCGCAUUGCCUCCGAGUGAACGGAUUCUUCACAACUCGUCCGCAGGAGUGUGCGUUGAGUGCUUUCCUCCCUCCCUCCCCUCUAUUCCGCUUCCUUCCUCGCCUGCUCUCCUGUGCGUUCAUUUUCUCUGAGCAAAACCGCUCCCUCUAUCCCAUUCCCCGGCAUCAUCGCUCGACACACACACGCACACACACGUAUCUGAAG
rnacentral:misc_RNA from 1 species